rnacentral:lncRNA from 1 species
GAGUCCCUGCCCGGGUCUUCCUGCCUCCACGUGGCGAAGCCGCACCUGAAGCCCCACCUGGUCGCAAAGGCUGGUGCAGGGGAAACCGUUGGUUCAGCUGCGGUUCCUGGGAAGGGGGUGCCGCUCUGAUCACGCGCACUUCUGAUUCCCCUCUCGGGGCUCGGAAGCGGCUGAGGGCUCUGGACCCGGUCUCCGAGGCGUGAGGCGGUGGGAGGGUCGGCGGCCGCGUCCUCCACGACCCUGGGGAGAAGUCCCAGUUUCCGCGCAGCCGACAACGGAGUUAACCUCACCGAAAGAUACAACCGAUUUAAGAAGAAAAUGUUAAAACUCUCUUCAAGGGCCUAUAGAAGAAACGGGAUGAAUGGAAACGUGAUUCACUCUGUGGACUGGCAGAUACCUCUGGAAAUCUGGUGUUCUAUUGUAAUAAGUUCUCGGGAAGGUAGAGACUUUUAUUUGGGACAUAGAGGCUUGGCCAACCAGAAUGGAGGACCCACCCAAGUCCCGCCCCCAAGCCUGAGCCCUCUCCUUUGCUCCACCCACUCUGCCUGAAGUCCCCUCAACCCCUCCGACUUCGCAGUCUCCCAGCCCGGCCUUCUGGGGCUGGUCUUCAUUGGAAGCCACGCCCCCAGGUCUGUCGGAUAAACAUUUUACAACCUAUUCUCUCUGAAGUCUAGUACCUGGAGGCUUCCUCUGGAAAUAAGAACUUGGGUCUCCCGCCUGGCCAACAUGACGAAACCCCGUCUCUACUAGAAAUACAAAAAUUAGCCGGUCGUGGUGGCACACACCUGUAAUCCUAGCUACUCAGGAGGCUGCGGCAGGAGAAUUGCUGGAACCCGGUAGGCGCAGGUUACAGUGAGCUGAGGUCGUGCCACUGCACUCCAGCCUGGGCGACAGAGCGAGACUGCGUCUCCGAAAAAAAAAAAAAAAAAAAUUAGCCGGGCAUGGUGGCGGGCGCCUGUAAUCCCAGCUAUUCUGGUGGCUGAGCCAGGAGAAUCGCUUGAACCCGGGAGGUGGAGGUUGCAGUGAGCCGAGAUGGUGCCAUUGCACUCCAGGCUGGGCAACAAGAGCGAGACUCCAUCUCAAAAAAGAAAAAAGAAAAAAAAAAAAAAGAACUUGGGUCUCCACAACCUCAAGCCUCCUCUCAAAAAAAGAAAAAAAGUUUUAAUCUCCCUAUAAGCUGGAAUCCCCACUCCCACCCCACCCCAGCUCCCGGUUUGAGCUGUCCUGCCAUUCUGGAACAAAUGAAUGUAUUUCUUUUCCUUUUUUUUUUUUUUUUUUUUUGAGACGGUGUCUCGCUCUGUCACCCAGGCUGGAGUGCAGUGGUGCCAUCUCCGCUCACUGCAACCUCCGCCUCCCUGGUUCAAGCGAUUCUCCUGCCUCAGCCUCCUGAGUAGCUGGGAUAACUGGCGCGUGCCACCACACCCGGCUAAUUUUGUAUUUUUAGUAGAGACGGGGUUUCACCAUCUUGGUUAGGCUGGUCUCGAACUCUGACCUCAUGUGAUCCGCCCACCUCGGCCUACCAAAGGGCUGGGAUUACAGGCGUGAGCCACCGCGCCCGGCCAAUAUAUUUCUUAAAUGUAUUUGAUUGAAGUCUCAUGUCUCCCUAAAAUGUACAAAACCAACUGCACCCCAGUCACCUUGGGCACAUGUUCUCCUGGCCUCCUGAGGGCUGUAUCACCGGCCAUGGUCACUCAUAUUUGGCUCAGAAUGAAUCUCUUAAAAUAUUUUACAGAGUUUGACGCUUUUCGUCGACAUUGCUUAGGCUGGCAUCGAAUUCCUGGGCUCAAGCUGUAAUUGCCGGAGGGUUCUUCCUGCCCACUGCAUAAAGAAAGACAAUGGCAUUGUAGUAAAGGAAGAGUUUAGUGGACAUGAGGCUGGCCAUGCCACGUGGGAGUCGAAGUUCCUACUCAAAUCAUCUCAAAGCUCCUAGGUUAGGGGUUUUCCAAAGACAGUUUGGGGGAACGGGUGGGGAUGGCAGAGUAACAGGUGCUUGCUGCUGAUUGGUUGGGGCAGAUGCAAUCAUAGGGGGGUCGAAGCCUUCCUCCUACAGGCUGAAUCGAUUUUGGGUGGGGCCAUAGGAGCAGGGUUGACGGGUCCAUGAGGAGUGUUAGGUGUCAGACAUGCAAUAAAACCUGAAAGGGUAUCUCCAAAGGCCAAUCUGGGGUUCUGCAAUAGUGGUGUUAUUUGCAGGAGUAAUUGGGGAAGUUGCAUAUCUCAUAACCUCUGGAAUAGUGGCUGACAUACAUUUCUGCGCCUUUGCAGGAAUCAGGCUCCUCUCCUGCUGAUGGCUCCCCAUUAGUUUUACCAAAGCGAUUGAGUUUUAGGCAAAGCUUAUUAUCACCUAAACUAUAGCCUAAAUGUUUCUUAAAGUUACCUCAGCCCAAUAGCCCAGGAAAUAUUAAGGGAAAGGGAAGAUGGGGGGUGGAUUGGCUCAGAUCUCUUUCACUGUCAUAAUUUUCUGAUAUAUAUUUUUUUGAGACAGGGUCUCACUCUGUUACCCAGGCUAGAGUGCAGAGGUGCAAUCACAGCUCACUGCAGCCUCGACCUCCCCAGGCUCAAAUGACCUGCCCAUUCUGGAGUUCAUUCAGCCUCACAAAAUGUUGGAAUUACAGGCGUGAGCCACCUCGACUGUCCUGAUUAUUAUUUUUGCAAAGGCAAUGGUUGACAAAGAGUCAAACUCUGUAAAAUAUUUGAAGAGAUUUAUUCUGAGCCAAAUAUGAGUGACCAUGGCCCACGACACAGCCCUCAGGAUGUCCUGAGAACAUGUGACAAAAGUGGUUGGGGUGCAGCUUGGUUUUAUAUAUUUUAGGGAGACAUGAGACAUCAAUCAAACACAUUUAAUAAAUACAUUGGCUUGGUCCAGAAAAGCAGGACAACUCAAAGCAGGAAGCUUCCACGCUAUAGGUAAAUUUAAACUUUUUUUUUUUUUUUUUUUUUGAGAUGGAGUUUCGCUCUUGUUGCCCAGGCUGGAGUGCAAUGGUGUGAACUCGGCUCACCGCAACCUCCGCCUCCCAGGUGCAGGCGAUUCUCCUGCCUCAGCCUCCCGAGUAGCUGGGAUUACAGACAUGUGCCACCACGUCCGGCUAAUUUUGUAUUUUUAGUAGAGACGGGGUUUCUCCAUGUUGGUCAGGCUGGUCUCGAACUCCCGACCUCAGGUGAUCCGCCUGCCUCUGCCUCCCAGUGUUGGGAUUACAGGCGUGAGCCACCGCGCUCGGCCAUAUGUGCAAUUUAUUACAUGUUAAUUAUACCUCAGUGAAGCUGUAGGGGCUGGGCAUGGUGAGUAGUUCACACCUGUAAUCCCAGCACUUUGGGAGGCUGUGGCAGGCAGAUCGCUUGAGCCCAAAACUUUGAGACCAGCCUGGGCAAUAUGGUGAGACCCCAUCUCUACAAAAAAAGAAAAAUUAGCUGGGCAUGGUGGCAUGUGCCUAUAGUCCCAGGUACUUGUGUGGCUGAGAGGGUAAGGAACACUACAGCCCUGGAGGUCAAGGCUGAGAUGAGCCAUGAUGCGCUCUGGCCUGGGCAACAAAGCAAGACCCUGUCUCGAAAAAAAAUUUUUUCUUUUUUUCCUAAAGAAUGUGUAGGCCAAGUUAACCCUCCAGACAGGUAAGAAUGUGAUAUGUGUCAUAGCCUGUAAUUUAUACAAUAACAUCAAGGCUGCUUUGGUCCAAGGGCAGGAUCUAUGGCGAGUAUAUGUUCUUACACAAGAACAGUAAAUAAAGUAGAAAUCCUGGCUGGGUGCAGUGGCUCAUGCCUGUAAUCCCGGCACUUUGGGAGGCCAAGGUGGGCGGAUGGCUUGAGCCCAAGAGUUCAAGACCAGCCUGGGCAACAUGACGAAACCCUAUGUCUUAAAACAAAAAACAAAAAAAAACAAAAAACCACCAGGCAUGGUAGUGUGCACCUGUAGUCUCAAUUACUUGGGAGGCUGAGGUGGGAG